rnacentral:misc_RNA from 1 species
GGAACAUUUAACAUUACCUUCAGAUGUGCUCAAAAUGUUAACGUUUCUCAUAUCAAAACUAGUUUUCUUUGAGAACAACUAACAUUACCUUCAGGUUUCGAUGUUAUUACGUGUUUCAGCUUCUUUUUUUUCCCCUUGUAUUUGAGAUGUGUGAAAUUUUCUGUACUUUCAUUAUAGCAUUAUUGUUCAUGACUGCUGUAUCAGUGCUGUAACAUUGUACUGUCCAGGGAAGGCGCAUAUAAAUAGAAUGAUGAUUUCUGGCCCAUUUUUAGCCUAGAACAGAAUCAUUACUGAACAACUAACACCAUCAACAUGGUAGUACAUUAACUAGAGUUUCUGCCCUAUUUGUGUUAUUUUUAAUCAUGUUCAUUUAACUCUCCCUUGACUACUUAAAAAUGCUCCCAACCAUAAAUUUUUGCAUUUCAUAGGUAGUUUACUUCUUGUAGUCUGACUUGGUUCAUUUGUAUUAAUAAUCUUUCAGGCUGUGUCAUUGAC